GGGGCUGUAGCUCAGUGGAAGAGCAUCUGCUUCCGAUGCAGAGGGUCCCCGGUUCAAUCCCUGGCAGCAUCCA